UACGAAGGGGGGCUAGCGUUGCUCGGAAUCACUGGGCGUAAAGCGCACGUAGGCGGCUUUCUAAGUCAGGGGUGAAAUCCUGGAGCUCAACUCCAGAACUGCCUUUGAUACUGGAGAGCUCGAGUCCGGAAGAGGUGAGUGGAACUCCGAGUGUAGAGGUGAAAUUCGUAGAUAUUCGGAAGAACACCAGUGGCGAAGGCGGCUCACUGGUCCGGUACUGACGCUGAUGUGCGAAAGCGUGGGGAGCAAACAGG
rnacentral:rRNA from 1 species